ACUGCUCAGUAACACGUGGAUAACCUGCCCUAAGGAAGGGGAUAACCUCGGGAAACUGAGGAUAAUACCCUAUAGGUUACAGACGCUGGAAUGCCCUGUAACCGAAAGUUCCGGCGCCUUAGGAUGGAUCUGCGGCCGAUUAGGUUGUUGUUGGGGUAACGGCCCAACGAGCCGAUAAUCGGUACGGGUUGUGGGAGCAAGAGCCCGGAGUUGGAUUCUGAGACAUGAAUCCAGGCCCUACGGGGCGCAGCAGGCGCGAAAACUUUACAAUGCGGGAAACCGUGAUAAGGGAACCCCGAGUGCCUGUAUAUGCAGGCUGUCCAGGUGUCUAAAAAACACCUGAAGAAAGGGCCGGGCAAGACCGGUGCCAGCCGCCGCGGUAAUACCGGCGGCUCGAGUGGUGGCCACUUUUAUUGGGCUUAAAGCGUUCGUAGCUGGGUUGUUAAGUCUCUUGGGAAAUCUGACGGCUCAACCGUCAGGCGUCCAAGGGAUACUGGCAAUCUUGGAACCGGGAGAGGUGAGGGGUACUUCGGGGGUAGGAGUGAAAUCCUGUAAUCCUCGAGGGACCACCUGUGGCGAAGGCGCCUCACCAGAACGGCUUCGACAGUGAGGGACGAAAGCUGGGGGAGCAAACCGGAUUAGAUACCCGGGUAGUCCCAGCCGUAAACGAUGCGCGUUAGGUGUAUCGGUGACCACGAGUCACCGAGGUGCCGAAGGGAAACCGUGAAACGUGCCGCCUGGGAAGUACGGUCGCAAGGCUGAAACUUAAAGGAAUUGGCGGGGGAGCAC
rnacentral:rRNA from 1 species